rnacentral:rRNA from 1 species
GACGAACGCUGGCGGCGUGCUUAACACAUGCAAGUCGAACGGAAAGGCCCUGCUUUUGUGGGGUGCUCGAGUGGCGAACGGGUGAGUAACACGUGAGUAACCUGCCCUUGACUUUGGGAUAACGUCAGGAAACUGGGGCUAAUACCGGAUAGGAGCUCCUGCUGCAGGGAGGGGGGUGGAAAGUUUCGGCGGGUGGGGAUGGACUCGCGGCUUAUCAGCUUGUUGGUGGGGUAGUGGCAUACCAAGGCUUUGACGGGUAGCCGGCCUGAGAGGGUGACCGGCCACAUUGGGACUGAGAUACGGCCCAGACUCCUACGGGAGGCAGCAGUGGGGAAUAUUGCACAAUGGGCGGAAGCCUGAUGCAGCAACGCCGCGUGCGGGAUGACGGCCUUCGGGUUGUAAACCGCUUUCGCCUGUGACGAAGCGUGAGUGACGGUAAUGGGUAAAGAAGCACCGGCUAACUACGUG